AGUGGUUAUGUGGCUGGCUUGAAACCAGCAUAUGGGGGUUCAAUUCCUCCCUUUCUCG
rnacentral:tRNA from 1 species